GAUAAUGGAAAAUAGAAGGAGGAGUAGUCAGCAGUAACGCAGCAAAUAACAACAAAUCAACAACAACCUAGUAAUGGAACAAUAACAGGCAACCAGUUCAGACCAGAAACCAGUAAACAAACUCCAACAACAACAAAAGAAACCCAACUUUAGACUACGGUAACACUUGAACAACCACCCAGAACCAAUAUGCAAACCAAACAGCAAACGAAAUGCAGUACCAGCAGCUAAAAGAUGAACUCAAAAAUAUAACAUGAUAGUUAAAGCUAAAGUCCUCUUUAGUUUCUUAGUUGAAUUAACUGACUGCUUAAACUCUCUCAAGAAUGCUCUCCAAUUUUUUCAACUCUCAAUUCUUACUGCCCGUUCAAG
rnacentral:lncRNA from 1 species